UCCAGGGUUCAUUCUCCAUACAGGCGAGCAGAGGAAAAUUCCAGCAUUUUGCAUUAGAUAAUACAACUAUUAGGAAUGAAGCAUUGCAUCUGGUGAAAGAAAAUCUUCAAAAUAUCGUCUUCAGUUUGGAGGAUUUCAAACAUCCAAUCGCCUACACGUUCAUGUAUAUUCAAUGGGAAGCAAAUCAAGUAAAUAGUAAUUAUUCUAAUUAAUUACUUUUUUACCAUGAAACCUACAAAAUUCUGAUUAAUCAGACCCAGGUUUUCUCAGAUUUUCGUAUCAAUGUUCAGUUGAAUUUGUAUUUAUACGCGCUUUAUAAACCUUUUAAGAGAAGUUAUAAAAUGUUGAGUGGUAUUCAGAGAACAACUUGAAAUGAUGUCAUCUUUUUACUUUCAAUUAGUAUAAAAGGACGCUUCAUAGGUAUUUAUAAUUUGUCACUGAAUUAUGUUUGGCACAUUUUUGACAUAUCAUUUAUAAAAAUUUCAAAUUACAAAAUUUUAAGCGACAAGCAGAAGAAAGAAAGUAGAUGACAGUCAUUCUGCUGUUUUCCGGUAAUCACCUUAGAUGGUACUAUGGUACCAUGUUCUUAAUAUUUCAGAUUUCAUGGAAAGGAGUGGUUUUAUCUUAGUUCAUAUGUUUAUUUAAAAAAGUCUACCCCCAUUAAAAGUUUUAACGUCUUCACUUUUUA